CUGUCUUUGACUUCAGGGAAUAGGGUGGUCAAUACACUGCAGAUCUAAUGAGAGUGACAGACAGAAACAUGGCUAGAAAAUAAGAGAAUCAGUACAACUACCAGCUAAAGAAGGGAAUAAAAAGAAGCCAGGCAGUGAUUGAGUGACUGUGUUCUUUAUAAUCGUGAGAGAUAUACAAACGAGAAAAACAAACAGAAAAAAACUAAAAAGGAGGUGGAGGGGAUGUGGAGGGGAUAUGGAGGGGAUAUGGAGGGGAUGUGGAGGGGAUGUGGAGGGGAUAUGGAGGGGAUAUGG
ensembl:lncRNA